AGCUGAGUGAAGUCCUGGUUGGUUCAAUGAAACGGGGUCCUAGAAACGGCCUAUCUCCAAAGAAGGAGGCCUGAUUUCCUCUCCUGAGCUGGGAGCAGGAAAUCAGGGUCUACUUGUCCCUUCUCUCCCAGAGCCUGGCUUUUCCUCUUGCAGGCUGGGGAGAGGGAGAUGCUCUGCUGACCCUCCCAGUGCCUUUGUACUGGGCCCUCUAAAAGACUCAAUAUGGCAGCCAGGAGGCACUGCUGGAGACAGGCAACCUUAGCAGGUAGGGACAGGCUCUCUGCAGGUAGUAAACGUCUGUGCACCAUUCUUGGCGAGACCCCAGCAACCAGAGGAUUAAGUCAAAGCAGGAAAAUAAGCCUCCAGGAUACACUCCAAGAUGAGGAGCCUCGGGUGAGCAGCUGUGAAGAAGCAAGCAGAGGUCCUGUGUCUGCACACAAGCCCUCCUUUCAUCCAACCUAUCCUGUAGGAUCCUGGCUGGCAACUGAUCCUCCUGAUUCUGGUCUCAGUGACAACCGAAUGUCGAGCCCACUGGCUGGUGAAUGAGAUCAUACACAUGUAAGCGGCAGCUUACAGCAGGGAGGCCUAGGAGGCAGAUCACAGCCGGACGGACCACGUCAUGCUCUCAAGUCAGCUGGGCCACCUGUCACCACCAGAGUCUGGGCUUUUCUGAGGCCCCAGGACUGCCUGGCUGCCAACCUUGCUGGCAAGGAGGGGCCCAGCCCAACCCCCUCCUAAGGGGUAACCCGGUUGCAGAAGAUGUCAGGGACUGACCUUAACAGACCUUAGCCGCUGCACCCAAUGUGGACUAACCUCAUCUCUAUUUUUUCCUGCCCUGUGUUCUCCCUAAGCUCAGCCUGUCCACUCCACCUUCCAUCCUAUCACCAGCCCUUCCUCAGACUUCCCCCUACCUGUUACCUUCUGAGCACUGGUUCUCUAGAAGAAAUGACCCCAGGGGGCCCACACCCACAUCUGUGGCAAGAUAUGGCUGUCUACCUAUGGAAAAACACAAACAACACCCACAGUCAUGCACACGCAUGCUGGGAGGAUCCACGGCAACAAGCGAGGACUUACAGAUGCGCCCAGGUGCCUGAGGCUGUGCUGUGACAGCACUGGGCCUCUACUAACUGCUGGGCAAUGUCUGGUCAGUGACUGCUUGUGGUCUCUUUCACAUGUGUGUAGUCCUGUGCUAGGUGGUCUGUCCAUGUGUGGAUUCAUUCAGUUCUCACCGCAACCCCAUAUGGCAGGUGGUGUUCUGUCUUCUUUACAGAUGAUGACAUAGGAGUUCAGAGGAAAAGUCACUUGCCUGAGAUUGUCCACUCAGAUGCUCUCCAGUGUAACCCCAAAGCACUGCAGCCAGGCAGAAAGCCCAUUCAGCCUCUGCCCCCUGCACUCUCUGUCUCCUCACCCUCCCCCAGAUCAGGGGGUGGGGGUCUCCUUUGGUUGAAGAGAGAUCGGCGCAUCCCGAGAAUGGGCUUUCCAACAGCCCAUCAAAUGGGCUUGCUCUCUUAUUUCUCUGGGCUCUUGGUGGUUACUGGCGGGCAAAUCCUCAGUGCUGUUUGUUAAGGGGUGAAGGAAAGCAUGGAAGAGGCACGCUGAGCUCCCAAGGAGGCCUGGGAGAAACAUCCAAGACAGGCC
ensembl:lncRNA